GUAAGUCAGUUGUGAAAGUUUGCGGCUCAACCGUAAAAUUGCAGUUGAUACUGUCAGUCUUGAGUACAGUAGAGGUGGGCGGAAUUCGUGGUGUAGCGGUGAAAUGCUUAGAUAUCACGAAGAACUCCGAUUGCGAAGGCAGCUCACUGGACUGCAACUGACACUGAUGCUCGAAAGUGUGGGUAUCAAACAGGAUUAGAUACCCUGGUAGUCCACACAGUAAACGAUGAAUACUCGCUGUUUGCGAUAUACAGUAAGCGGCCAAGCGAAAGCAUUAAGUAUUCCACCUGGGGAGUACGCCGGCAACGGUGAAACUCAAAGGAAUUGACGGGGGCCCGCACAAGCGGAGGAACAUGUGGUUUAAUUCGAUGAUACGCGAGGAACCUUACCCGGGCUUAAAUUGCAGUGGAAUGAUGUGGAAACAUGUCAGUGAGCAAUCACCGCUGUGAAGGUGCUGCAUGGUUGUCGUCAGCUCGUGCCGUGAGGUGUCGGCUUAAGUGCCAUAACGAGCGCAACCCUUAUCUUCAGUUACUAACAGGUCAUGCUGAGGACUCUGGAGAGACUGCCGUCGUAAGAUGUGAGGAAGGUGGGGAUGACGUCAAAUCAGCACGGCCCUUACGUCCGGGGCUACACACGUGUUACAAUGGGGGGUACAGAAGGCAGCUAGCGGGUGACCGUAUGCUAAUCCCAAAAUCCUCUCUCAGUUCGGAUCGAAGUCUGCAACCCGACUUCGUGAAGCUGGAUUCGCUAGUAAUCGCGCAUCAGCCACGGCGCGGUGAAUACGUUCCCGGGCCUUGUACACACCGCCCGUCAAGCCAUGGGAGCCGGGGGUACCUGAAGUACGUAACCGCAAGGAUCGUCCUAGGGUAAAACUGGUGACUGGGGCUAAGUCGUAACAAGGUAACCA
rnacentral:rRNA from 1 species